rnacentral:rRNA from 1 species
GACGAACGCUGGCGGCGUGCUUAACACAUGCAAGUCGAACGGAAAGGCCCUGCUUUUGUGGGGUGCUCGAGUGGCGAACGGGUGAGUAACACGUGAGUAACCUGCCCUUGACUUUGGGAUAACUUCAGGAAACUGGGGCUAAUACCGGAUAGGAGCUCCUGCUGCAUGGUGGGGGUUGGAAAGUUUCGGCGGUUGGGGAUGGACUCGCGGCUUAUCAGCUUGUUGGUGGGGUAGUGGCUUACCAAGGCUUUGACGGGUAGCCGGCCUGAGAGGGUGACCGGCCACAUUGGGACUGAAAUACGGCCCAGACUCCUACGGGAGGCAGCAGUGGGGAAUAUUGCACAAUGGGAGGAAGCCUGAUGCAGCAACGCCGCGUGCGGGAUGACGGCCUUCGGGUUGUAAACCGCUUUCGCCUGUGACGAAGCGUGAGUGACGGUAAUGGGUAAAGAAGCACCGGCUAACUACGUG